rnacentral:rRNA from 1 species
UAGAGGACUGUAGAGGAGAAUGGAAUUCACGGUGUAGCAGUGAAAUGCGUAGAUAUCGUGAGGAAGACCAGUGGCGAAGGCGAUUCUCUGGGCAGUUCCUGACACUGAGGCACGAAGGCCAGGGGAGCAAACGGGAUUAGAUACCCCGGUAGUCCUGGCAGUAAACGGUGCACGUUUGGUGUGGGAGGAUUCGACCCCUUCCGUGCCGAAGCUAACGCGUUAAACGUGCCGCCUGAGGAGUACGGUCGCAAGAUUAAAACUCAAAGAAAUUGACGGGGGCCCGCACAAGCGGUGGAGUAUGUGGCUUAAUUCGAUGCAACGCGAAGAACCUUACCUGGCCUUGACAUGCAUUGUGUCUACGGUGAAAGCCGUAUAGUCCGUAGCAAUACGGACGCUUUGCACAGGUGCUGCAUGGCUGUCGUCAGCUCGUGUCGUGAGAUGUUGGGUUAAGUCCCGCAACGAGCGCAACCCUUAUGAUCUGUUGCCAUUCCGCAAGGAGGCACUCUGAUCAGACUGCCCUGUGAAACGGGGAGGAAGGUGGGGAUGACGUCAAGUCAGUAUGGCCCUUACGGCCAGGGCUGCACACGUACUACAAUGCCCACUACAGAAUGAACCAAAGCCGCGAGGUGGAGGAAAUCUCAAAAAGUGGGCCCAGUUCGGAUCGUAGGCUGCAACUCGCCUACGUGAAGUUGGAAUCGCUAGUAAUGGCGCAUCAGCUACGGCGCCGUGAAUACGUUCCCGGGCCUUGUACACACCGCCCGUCACAUCAUGGAAAUCGUUUGCACCCGAAGUCCGUGCGCUAACCCGCAAGGGAGGCAGCGGCCGAAGGUAUGAGCGGUAACUGGGAUGAAGUCGUAACAAGGUAUCAAUCCCGCG